rnacentral:rRNA from 1 species
GACGAACGCUGGCGGCGUGCUUAACACAUGCAAGUCGAACGAUGAAGCCGGAGCUUGCUCUGGUGAAUUAGUGGCGAACGGGUGAGUAACACGUGAGUAACCUGCCCUUGACUCUGGGAUAACUGCUAGAAAUGGUAGCUAAUACCGGAUACGACCCUCGGAGGCAUCUCCAGGGGGUGGAAAGAAUUUCGGUCAAGGAUGGACUCGCGGCCUAUCAGCUAGUUGGUGAGGUAACGGCUCACCAAGGCGACGACGGGUAGCCGGCCUGGGAGGGUGACCGGCCACACUGGGACUGAGACACGGCCCAGACUCCUACGGGAGGCAGCAGUGGGGAAUAUUGCACAAUGGGCGCAAGCCUGAUGCAGCAACGCCGCGUGAGGGAUGACGGCCUUCGGGUUGUAAACCUCUUUUAGUAGGGGAGAAGCGAAAGUGACGGUACCUGCAGAGAAAGCACCGGCUAACUACGUGCCAGCCGCCGCCGUAA